UGUUACGAGACCACCAUUGCAACAGGGAUGGCCCUGGGUGAUGGUCUCAGGAAGGGGCUGAUCCCCUCCAGGCCAAAUUUGGGGCCAUCUCCCUGUUUUUGGAACCUUUGGGGCCCUGGAUCUCUGGCAAAAGGCAGAGAAAAGCAUCAUUGGGAAAUAUUACUCAGAUGUGGAGUGCCACCCACCUAAGGAUGGCUGGCCUGGGGAAGAAGGCUUCAUGCUAUGCUGGAAGGAGACAGCCCCUGAAUCAGAGAGGCUGAAGGAGUGGCUGGGACGUGUGGCUGCUUCUCUGCCCACCUGUAAUGUGCAUUCAAUUUCCCCCAUUUCUAGAAGGAGGUGCUCGGGCCAAGGUAUUUCUAAGGUCUUUUCCAGCUCUGAGGUUUUCUGAUUCCAGAAUGAAGCCAGAAUUCUGCCCAGGCUUCUCUUAGACCCACGACACAGAGGAUCCAGGAAACAUGAAGAAAGAAUCCUGGAAAGCUUCACACAGGCAGGUGGAGCCCCCGUCCUGCACUACAUCAUCCCCAGUGUGAGUCUUAGACCAUCUCUUUGCUCUGCACACGCCAAGUCCUCAAGCCCUUGAAACUUCAGGAGAUGCUCCCGAAGACAUUCUGGGGCUCACAGGGAGGAGCCCGUCUUCUCCCUCGCACCCCUUCUCCCCUGCUUACGUCCAAGUCUUAUCCAUUUCUAAGGCAAAACACCUUCCUUGUACCGAUAAUUUCUUCGGAGCCCCUCCCAGUCUCACCCUGCCUCGCAAGUACCUAUUAAGGUGCUUACAAUUUCCCCCUCCCCACAAAGCAGCUCUCUCCUUCAGAGGAAUCCUGGUGUCAGCUUUAAUUUAUACACCUUUUCUACCUUUAAUCCAUAGAUGGAGAUUAUAACUGGGUAAGACCUUUUAACCUGGAGUCUCCAGCUCCCAAUCUGUCAGACAGGGGUACACCUUGCUCCUACUGAGACAGGGAACUUAGUCACUUGCCCAAGAUUGUGCCAGUCGGAAGCGAUGGUACUGGGAUUCUGCCCUGGUUCUGUCCUGGUCUCCAGCCCCUUCUUGGGGGCUUUCUGGCCUGGGUCUGUGCCCACAGGCCAGUUCUCUGUUAGCAGGCAGAGCUGUGGGUGGUGUGACACAAUUGCACUGUCAAUGGGUAGAAGCUCAGGAUCUGGAUCUGGAGGGGUGGGGUGUCUAGUGGUCAGACGCUCUGGUCAGGUGGGGCUGGCACCAACCUCCUGCCUCACACCUCAGGGGCGGCAGCAUAUCCUGCCAUCUUCAGGGUGGUGGCCCUAGAGAGAAGGGCGCUGUGUCUGAGUGCCUGGACUCUCCCUCCUUCUCCCAUUCCUCCGUUCCCCAGCCCAGUGAGUGAGCCACCCAGCCACUUCAAAGUCCUUUGUAACUCCCGUUGCUCACCCUGACGGCGGGAUGUUCCCUGAGUCUUUUUUGGCCCCUGGAGACAUUGCCCAACACCAUGUUUGUCAAAUGAUCGACAUGGUCCAGGGUUUUGAAAUAAAGUUCUUAAAGAGAAGGCAAAA